rnacentral:rRNA from 1 species
UACGUAGGGACCAAGCGUUGUUCGGAUUUACUGGGCGUAAAGGGCGGGUAGGCGGCCACCGCAAGUCAGUUGUGAAAUCUCUGGGCUUAACCCAGAAAGGUCAACUGAUACUGCGGGGCUAGAGUGCAGAAGGGGCAACUGGAAUUCUCGGUGUAGCGGUGAAAUGCGUAGAUAUCGAGAGGAACACCUGCGGCGAAGGCGGGUUGCUGGGCUGGCACUGACGCUGAACUGCGAAAGCUAGGGGAGCGAACGGG